rnacentral:rRNA from 1 species
AGAGCGAACGCUGGCGGCAGGCUUAACACAUGCAAGUCGAACGGGCGUAGCAAUACGUCAGUGGCAGACGGGUGAGUAACGCGUGGGAACGUACCUUUUGGUUCGGAACAACACAGGGAAACUUGUGCUAAUACCGGAUAAGCCCUUACGGUGAAAGAUUUAUCGCCGAAAGAUCGGCCCGCGUCUGAUUAGCUAGUUGGUAGGGUAACGGCCUACCAAGGCGACGAUCAGUAGCUGGUCUGAGAGGAUGAUCAGCCACAUUGGGACUGAGACACGGCCCAAACUCCUACGGGAGGCAGCAGUGGGGAAUAUUGGACAAUGGGCGAAAGCCUGAUCCAGCCAUGCCGCGUGAGUGAUGAAGGCCCUAGGGUUGUAAAGCUCUUUGUGCGGGAAGAUAAUGACGGUACCGCAAGAAUAAGCCCGGCUAACUUCGCGCCAGCAGCCGC